rnacentral:rRNA from 1 species
AUUGAACGCUGGCGGCAGGCCUAACACAUGCAAGUCGAGCGGAGCGGGGGACGGGGGAGUAAUGCCUAGGAAUCUGCCUGUUAGUGGGGGAUAACGUCCGGAAACGGGCGCUAAUACCGCAUACUAUUAGAUGAGCCUAGGUCGGAUUAGCGAGUUGGUGGGGUAAGGGCCUACCAAGGCGACGAUCAGUAACUGGUCUGAGAGGAUGAUCAGUCACACUGGAACUGAGACACGGUCCAGACUCCUACGGGAGGCAGCAGUGGGGAAUAUUGGACAAUGGGCGAAAGCCUGAUGCAGCCAUGCCGCGUGUAUGAAGAAGGCCUUCGGGUUGUAAAGUACUUUCAGCGGGGAGGCGUUACCCGCAGAAGAAGCACCGGCUAACUCCGUGCCAGCAGCCGCGGUAAUAC